rnacentral:rRNA from 1 species
ACUGCUCAGUAACACGUAGCUAACCUACCCUUAGGACGUGGAUACCCCCGAGAAAUUGGGGUUAAUCCGCGAUAGAUGUAAUGUCCUGGAAUGGUAUUACGUCUAAAGGUAUUUCAUACAUGUUUGAAAUAUGCCUAAGGAUGGGGCUGCGGCCGAUCAGGCUGUUGGUGGGGUAAUGGCUCACCAAACCUUUGACCGGUACGGGCCAUGAGAGUGGUAGCCCGGAGAUGGACACUGAGACAAGGGUCCAGGCCCUAAGGGGCGCAGCAACCGCGAAACCUCCACAAUGCACUCACGUGCGAUGGGGCUAUCUCGAGUGCCACCUGAUGAAGGUGGCUUUUCCUUGGUCUUCAAAGCCUUGGGAAUAAGAGGGGGGCAAGACUGGUGUCAGCCGCCGCGGUAACACCAGCCCCUCGAGUGGUGGGGAUGAUUAUUUGGCCUAAAGCGUCCGUAGCCGGCCGAGUAAGUCCCCCGUUAAAUCCAGCGUCUCAAGCGUUGGACUGCGGGAGAUACUACUUGGCUAGAGAGUGGGAGAGGUCAGCGGUAUUCUGGGGGUAGGGGCGAAAUCCUUUGAUCCCCGGAGGACCACCAGUGGCGAAGGCUGCUGACUAGAACACGUCUGACGGUCAGGGACGAAAGCUGGGGUAGCGAACCGGAUUAGAUACCCGGGUAGUCCCAGCCGUAAACGAUGCAUGCUAGGUGUUGGGUUGGCCACGCGCCACCCCAGUGCCGCAGGGAAGCCGUUAAGCAUGCCGCCUGGGAAGUACGAUCGCAAGAUUGAAACUUAAAGGAAUUGGCGGGGGAG